UACGUAGGGGGCUAGCGUUGCUCGGAAUUACUGGGCGUAAAGCGCACGUAGGCGGAUUGUUAAGUCGGGGGUGAAAUCCUGGAGCUCAACUCCAGAACUGCCUUCGAUACUGGCGAUCUUGAGUCCGGAAGAGGUUGGUGGAACAGCUAGUGUAGAGGUGAAAUUCGUAGAUAUUAGCUAGAACACCAGUGGCGAAGGCGGCCAACUGGUCCGGAACUGACGCUGAGGUGCGAAAGCGUGGGGAGCAAACAGG
rnacentral:rRNA from 1 species